AAAUCUCAAAAACCCCUUUUCCAUUUCGAAAAAGGAUUUUUGGACUUGGAGGUUCAAUGCUUGCUUUUAAAAGCGAGCUCCUCUUAAAUAAAUUAGUGGGGUCCGCUUUGCCGAUCCUUGACGUGAUAAGAUAUUUCUACGUUUUGGAUUUGGCACUGUCUUUUGGACGUUCGCUUCUAACCGUCUUAAGGACGAAUGAUGGUGCUUCGGUCACCGCCAUAUACAUUGGCGGGAGGCUGGACCCACAAUAAAAC
rnacentral:misc_RNA from 1 species